GACGAACGCUGGCGGCGUGCUUAACACAUGCAAGUCGAGCGGAAAGGCCCUUCGGGGUACUCGAGCGGCGAACGGGUGAGUAACACGUGAGUAACCUGCCCCCGACCUCUGGGAGUAAGACCCGGGAAACCGUAGGGUCGUAAUACCGGACCGGCGACCCGUCGAUGGCAUCAUCUGCGGGUGGGAAAGUACGGUGUUUAA
rnacentral:rRNA from 1 species